rnacentral:tRNA from 1 species
GGAGGUGAGACCAUGGCUUAUUGGUAGAGCAUCUGCUUAACAUGCGUAAGGUCCGAGGUUCAGUCCCUGGAAUCUCCA